UGGGGAAUAUUGCGCAAUGGGGGAAACCCUGACGCAGCAACGCCGCGUGAAGGAUGAAGGUCUUCGGAUUGUAAACUUUUGUCUUUAGGGAAGAAUUUUGACGGUACCUAAGGAGGAAGCUCCGGCUAACUACGUGCCAGCAGCCGCGGUAAUACGUAGGGAGCGAGCGUUGUCCGGAAUUACUGGGUGUAAAGGGUGCGUAGGCGGGUAUGCAAGUCAUAUGUGAAAUACCGGGGCUCAACUCCGGAACUGCAUAAGAAACUGUAUAUCUUGAGUGCAGGAGAGGUAAGUGGAAUUCCUAGUGUAGCGGUGAAAUGCGUAGAUAUUAGGAGGAACACCAGUGGCGAAGGCGACUUACUGGACUGUUACUGACGCUGAGGCACGAAAGCGUGGGGAGCAAACA
rnacentral:rRNA from 1 species